UCGAGCGGAAGAUGGACAACUGCAAGCCCUGCGGCGGGGCCAUCCCGCUGUGCAUGGUGUCGGAGUUCGACCUGCCGCUGGACCUCGUGGACCGGAAGGUGAGGAAGAUGAAGAUGAUCUCGCCGUCCAACGUCGCCGUCGACAUCGGCCGCACGCUCGCGCCGCACGAGUACAUCGGGAUGGUCAGGCGCGAGGUGCUCGACGCCUACCUCCGCUCACGGGCCCAGUCCGCCGGCGCGGAGGUCGUCAAUGGCCUCUUCCUAAGGUACGGUACAUCGAAAACCAAACGGCAAGAUUUGCCUAUGUGAGCUGAACUGAGUCAUAUUCAUGCACUGAUACUGGCAGUAUUUAAACUGCAUCAAAACUGCCAGGAUGUACGCUACUUGGUACCAACAAGUUGGUUUUACUUUCUCAGGGAGCAUAGAUUUGGUCUUGAUUUGUGCAUGCAUGUCAUUUUAGGGAGUUAAUUUGUGCAUUUGUGUUGAGAGCUGAUACCCUCAACUACUACUAGUAGUCUAGUACUAUCACAAAUUAUAGGUAAUUUGAUUCAAAUUGAAUGAAUCAAAAGUAAACAUGGAAAAUGGAUCUGCAUGCAGCAGAUCAAAUUUGAGCUAGAAAUCCAACUCUAAAAUCUCCGAAUGUCAGUUCCUGUUUGAAAGUGGCACGCAUAUCCCAACGAGCAGGAUCUGUGAUUGAUCAAUGCCUGUUCUAUCUGCUCAGGUACGAGGCGCCCAAGGAACCGAACGGCUCGUACGUGGUGCACUACAACCAGUACGACAGCAGCAACGGCAAGGUUGGCGGUGAGAAGAAGUCGUUGGAGGUGGACGCGAUCGUGGGCGCGGACGGCGCCAAUUCCCGCGUGGCCAAGGACAUGGGCGCCGGCGACUACGAGUACGCCAUCGCGUUCCAGGAACGCGUCAAGAUCCCCGACGACAAGAUGGUGUACUACGAGGAGCGCGCCGAGAUGUACGUCGGCGACGACGUCUCCCCCGACUUCUACGGCUGGGUGUUCCCCAAGUGCGACCACGUCGCCGUCGGCACCGGCACCGUCACCCACAAGGCCGACAUCAAGAAGUUCCAGGCCGCCACCCGCCUCCGCGCCAAGGACAAGAUCGAGGGCGGCAAGAUCAUCCGCGUCGAGGCGCACCCCAUCCCCGAGCACCCGAGGCCGAAGAGGGUGUCCGGGCGCGUGACGCUGGUGGGCGACGCGGCCGGGUACGUGACCAAGUGCUCCGGCGAGGGCAUCUACUUCGCGGCGAAGAGCGGGCGGAUGGCGGCGGAGGCGAUCGUGGCCGGGUCGGCGAACGGGACGCGGAUGGUGGAGGAGAGCGACCUGCGCAAGUACCUGGCGGAGUUCGACCGCCUCUACUGGCCGACCUACAAGGUGCUCGACAUCCUGCAGAAGGUGUUCUACCGCUCCAACGCGGCGCGCGAGGCCUUCGUGGAGAUGUGCGCCGACGACUACGUCCAGAAAAUGACCUUCGACAGCUACCUCUACAAGCGCGUCGUGCCGGGCAACCCGCUCGACGACAUCAAGCUCGCCGUCAACACCAUCGGCAGCCUCGUCAGGGCCACCGCGCUGCGCAGGGAGAUGGAGAAGGUCACCUUGUGAGCCGCCGGCUGCGACGUCGUCGAGCUGCCGUUCACUUCAGGUGUUCGAGUCGCAGCUCAUCGAUCGGUGUAUUAGUAGAGGUUCGCGGCUGAUCAUGCAAGCGAGUUAAUUGAGGCCAGCGUGCGUAGGCACGGAGAGUUAAAGGACAGAGGUGGUGCAGGUGGAGGAAGUCGAUCAAAAGUGCUGUCUGUUUCUGAC
rnacentral:lncRNA from 1 species